UACGGAGGGUGCAAACGUUGCUCGGAAUUAUUGGGCGUAAAGCGCACGUAGGCGGUCCGCUAAGUCGGGUGUGAAAUCCCUCGGCUUAACCGAGGAAGUGCAUUCGAAACUGGCGGGCUUGAGUACUGAAGAGGGUCGCGGAAUUCCCGGUGUAGAGGUGAAAUUCGUAGAUAUCGGGGAGGAACACCAGUGGCGAAGGCGGCGACCUGGGCAGAUACUGACGCUGAGGUGCGAAAGCGUGGGGAGCAAACAGG
rnacentral:rRNA from 1 species